rnacentral:rRNA from 1 species
UACGGAGGGUGCAAGCGUUAUCCGGAUUCACUGGGUUUAAAGGGAGCGCAGGCGGGCUUGUAAGUCAGUGGUGAAAUACCCGUGCUUAACAUGGGAACUGCCAUUGAUACUAUAGGUCUUGAAUAUCGUUGAGGUUUGCGGAAUGGGUCAUGUAGCGGUGAAAUGCAUAGAUAUGACCCGGAACACCUAUUGCGAAGGCAGCAGGCUAAGCGAAGAUUGACGCUGAGGCUCGAAAGCCAGGGGAGCAAACGGG